rnacentral:lncRNA from 1 species
AAAGCUCAGGCUAAUCUUUCCGCCAAACCCAUGCAUGAACCAGCGUUUGUGGCUAGUCACAAAGCUCAGGCCAACGUUUCACCCAAACCCAUAUAUGAUACAGCGUUUGUGACCAGUCACAAAGCUCAGGCCAACGUUUCAGCCAAGCCCAUGCAUGAACCAGCGGUUGUGGCUAGUCACAAAGCUCAGGCCAACGUUUCACCCAAACCCAUACAUGAAGCAGCAUUUGUGGCUAGUCACAAAGCUCAGGCCAACGUUUCAGCCAAACCCAUACAUGAACCAGCGUUUGUGGCUAGU